rnacentral:rRNA from 1 species
UACGUAGGGCGCAAGCGUUGUCCGGAAUUAUUGGGCGUAAAGAGCUCGUAGGCGGUCUGUCGCGUCGGAUGUGAAAGCCCGGGGCUUAACCCCGGGUCUGCAUUCGAUACGGGCAGACUAGAGUGUGGUAGGGGAGAUCGGAAUUCCUGGUGUAGCGGUGAAAUGCGCAGAUAUCAGGAGGAACACCGGUGGCGAAGGCGGGUCUCUGGGCCGAUACUGACGCUGAGGAGCGAAAGCGUGGGGAGCAAACGGG